GUGAGAGAGGUUAUGCAGAACAGCCAUGGAGAAAGUCACCUAUACCAUCCUAUACUCCUCCUGUUGCACGCACUUCUGAUGAACCAAUGGAGAUUGCCUUUACUAAAGGUCCUUUGACUACAGAAGAAAAGAACAGAAGAAAGGCCAAUAAUUUGUGCUUAUACUGUGCUUCCAAGGCACAUACAGUAAAGGACUGUCCUAUUCUCCAGAAACAAAAGGUGGGAGGGACAAAGAAUCCAGACACAGGCCAUUAUUGACUCCGGAACCACGGGCAAUUUCAUUGAUAAAACUUUUCUUGAUAAAUAUCACAUUCCAUUAAUAAAACGUAUUGAUUCACUAGC